rnacentral:tRNA from 1 species
UCCUUGGUGGUCCAGUGGUUAGGAUUUUUUACUUUCACUGUUGAGGGCACAGGUUCAAUCCCUGGCUGAGGAA